rnacentral:lncRNA from 1 species
AAAAAAAAAAAAAAAAAAAAAAAAAAAAAAAAAAAAACUACGAAACAAGGAGGGAAUCCCACUCCUUUACAAGAUGUUUGAGUCUGAGAACCGCUAGCUCAAAGUUGAGGGCUGUGUUCUUAAAGACUGUGUUGUUUCUGACCUUCAUUGCGUUAAAUUGUUAAUUUGUUAAUUGCGCAGUUUUUGCCUCGCCAUAAUAAUUGCAGCGUCCUUUCCAGCAUCCUUACACACGUCUGCUCAGUUUCCAUAUUAUAAUAUCUGUUUCUUUCAUUUUUUUAGAAAUAAACUUAG